ACAAGAUUUGAUCAAAAUCUGAGCUCCGAAUCUCAAAGCUCGUGAAGAGGAAAGUGUAGUACGAGUUGUCAUCGUCAUCUUAAGCUAAAUAUUGACCUUGGAAAAGGAUAAUUUCGUGGUUGAGCUACUGCUAAGGUAUAUAUGCUCUUGUACAAGCUAAGAGGAAUUAUUUGACGAAGUGGACUUUGGUUGGUCUAUGGCGUAGAUGAUUUGAACUCCUCGAGUUGUGGUAGAACUUGUUGUGUGGUAAAACGCCGAGGUAAUGUGCGAGAUGAGGUAUGAAGAUGGCCACUUGGAGUAUACUUUUGGGAGCCUUAGUGAAGAUCAC